GACGAACGCCGGCGGCGUGCUUAACACAUGCAAGUCGAACGCUGAAGACCUGGCUUUUGUUGGGUUGGAUGAGUGGCGAACGGGUGAGUAACACGUGAGUAACCUGCCCUCUUCUUUGGGAUAACGCCCGGAAACGGGUGCUAAUACUGGAUAUUCACUGAUCUUCGCAUGGGGGUUGGUGGAAAGGUUUGUUCUGGUGGGGGAUGGGCUCGCGGCCUAUCAGCUUGUUGGUGGGGUGAUGGCCUACCAAGGCUUUGACGGGUAGCCGGCCUGAGAGGGUGACCGGUCACAUUGGGACUGAGAUACGGCCCAGACUCCUACGGGAGGCAGCAGUGGGGAAUAUUGCACAAUGGGCGAAAGCCUGAUGCAGCGACGCCGCGUGAGGGAUGGAGGCCUUCGGGUUGUAAACCUCUUUCGCUCAUGGUCAAGCCGCAACUGUGGGUUGUGGUGAGGGUAGUGGGUAAAGAAGCGCCGGCUAACUACGUG
rnacentral:rRNA from 1 species